AGACUGCAUGGUAGCCCAGGAAGAAUUACCCCCAUGAUGACUUACCAUUUGCAAAAGUAGACAACCCAAGGUAUUGCAAAUGGGGUAUGUCUAGUCUUUUUUAGUAUCCACUUAGUCACAAACACUGGCCAAAAUUGGCGUUCAAAUCAGUUUUUUGCAUUUUUCACACACAAACAAAUAUUAACACUAACUUUGGCCAGUGUUUGUGACCAAGUGGCUACUAAAAAAGACUGGACAUAUCCCAUUUGCAAUACCUUGGGUUGUCUACUUUUGCAAAUGGUAAGCCAUCAUGGGGGUAAUUUUUAUUCCUGGGCUACCAUAUGGUCUCA